rnacentral:rRNA from 1 species
AUUGAACGCUGGCGGCAUGCCUAACACAUGCAAGUCGAACGGCAGCACAGCAGUAGCAAUGCUGUGGGUGGCGAGUGGCGGACGGGUGAGGAAUACGUCGGAAUCUGCCCAGUCGUGGGGGAUAACUAGCCGAAAGGUUAGCUAAUACCGCAUACGACCGAGAGGUGAAAGCGGGGACCGCAAGGCCUCGCGCGAUUGGAUGAGCCGACGUCGGAUUAGCUAGUUGGCGGGUAAAGGCCCACCAAGGCGACGAUCCGUAGCUGGUCUGAGAGGAUGAUCAGCCACACUGGAACUGAGACACGGUCCAGACUCCUACGGGAGGCAGCAGUGGGGAAUAUUGGACAAUGGGCGCAAGCCUGAUCCAGCAAUGCCGCGUGUGUGAAGAAGGCCUUCGGGUUGUAAAGCGACUUUAUACAGGAACGAAAAGACGUUGG